AUCCUGCUGAAUGUUAACUUGUAUUGCUUUCCUUCAAUCAGCGAUUCACAAAUCAAAAUGGUGAUGAACUUUCAAUUUGAUCAGGGUACAUCAGGAAGUCAAGUUAAUAUUGACAAAGAUUUUAAUAAGGAAGUGUAUGAAACUUUCGAAAGUAACUUAACAAAAUGAAUGACUUGGCAGGUAUUGAAAGUUGUUGUUCUUCGCAUUCGGACACUGAAUCAGUUUCGAGCAAUGUUGAACCAGUUCGGAAUAAUUCGUUAAAGUUUGGAAUUGCAAACAUUUUGAAAGAAAGUGAACAUUCAGUGACUUCAGAAACGUCAUUUUCUAACGAUGAACAAUUAUCCAAAAACAUGUUUAACCAUACAAACAGUCCUAGACUUUUAUUUAAUCCGUAUUUUUUGCAAAAUUCAAGCCUUAUGUGGCCACUUCAAGAUUUAUCAAGAGAUAGGCAAAUACUAACGAGACGAAUAGGACAUCCAUAUCAAAACAGAACCCCACCAAAGAAAAAAAAGCCAAGAACAUCAUUUAGCAGACUUACAAUUAUAGAACUAGAGAAAAGGUUUGAACAGCAAAAAUAUCUAGCGUCAUCAGAACGAACGCAUUUAGCAAAAGCCCUGAAGAUUUCUGAUUCCCAAGUGAAAACAUGGUUUCAGAAUAGGAGAACGAAGUGGAGGCGACAAGUUGCUGAAGAAAAGGAAAUACAAAGGCAAGCUGCAAAUCGUUUACUAAUGUCUAUUGGACAAAGUGUUUUGCAAUAAAUUCCUCAGCCUAAUGUGACAAUAAAGGAAGUGCAGUUGUUAAUUAAGAAGCUGUUACUGUGGAUUUUUUUUCUCCACAAAAUCAAACUGUUGUUUUGCUUUUUCAUAAAUAGAACAUUUAUUACUCUU